GGCAGGGUCUAUGUGGGGCCAUCUAAUCCCUUUUCAAUGCCAGCUCUGGAGACAGUGUGGGUGUGGGUGUGUGUUUUUAUUGCCAUUGUGUGUCCUCAAGUGUAGAUACCAUUUGAUGAGUAAAUGACAAAGUUGACAUGGCCUGAUUUAAGGAUGAAGCAUGAGGAUCUCGGACGAAUGGAAUUAAUUAUAUAUACGUUUUUAAGGUUUUUAUAAUGUGUUUUAACAAUGUUAUUAAUGGAUCUGUUUAUAUUGUUUUGUUUUUAUGAUUGCAUUUUGGGCAUUAAAUUUUGCCAAUUUUUGUAAGCUGCCCUGAGUCCCCUCGGGUGAGAAGGGCGGGGUAUAAAUGUUGUAAAUAAAUAAAUAAAUAAAUAAAUAAUAGUAUGGUACAAGUGAAGGGACCAUAAGCCAGAAAAUAGUAAACUUUUGCUCAUGUGGCUUUACCUCUGCAUAUGCCCCUCCCUUCCUGUGAGCUGGUGCCUUUCUCCAGAAAGUUCCAAGACCAAAAGUUAGCUUGAAAUCAACAAGUGAGGUCACAGGUAUCACUUAUGCCAAGUAGGUGUGGAAGGCGAGGAAGAUCCUCAGCCAUUGGUCAAUUUUAGAUAAGCCAAAGGUAUAUAUUCUUUGUUAACUGCGUACAUGGGGCGGCGAUCAUUUCCAUGAUACAGCCCUUUGGGGUAUGUAUGGCUGUUUGUCUUAUCAUUAGCUAUGAUAACAAUAAAAAGGCUUGUUUUAUCGCUCUCUUGGAAUUCUCUCCUUUACUUCCCCUCUGGGCUAGUCCCUAACACAAGGAGCCUGCCAAUCACGCAAAACGGCAAAAUAAAUAGAUAACGCUGGAUUCCUUGAAGGCAAUUCCGUGGAAUGUAACUGACCACUCUCUGCCCUGUGUUAUUGGGAUAGAAUCUGAAACUUGUCCACCUCCAACAGCUCCAAAAUAUUCCCCCAAGUUUGGGAAAGAAUGGGUUCAGUAGGGUCAUAUAUAUACAUGGCGUCCAAAUAUCUUUUGGGGACCAAUGUCUGGGCAGAAUGUUUUGGGGCACACACAAAGGGUCUUUUGCUUGCCAUUAGAAAAUAAUACCAUAUUAUUAAACAGAAAUGUAAUAUAUCUCGGCAUUGUAGCAGUGAAGAAAUUGCAGGGUCUCCAGAAAUAAGUAAAGGGUUUCCCCUGACAUUAAAUCUAUGGGUUGGUGCUCGUCUCAAUUUCUAAGCCGAAGAGCCGGCGUUGUCCAUAGACACCUCCUAGGUCAUGUGGCAACAUGAUUGCAUGAAGCGUUGUUAUCUUCCCGCUAGAGCGGUACCUAUUGAUCUACUUACAUUUGCAUGUUUUCGAACUGCUAGGUUGGUAGAAGCUGGGGCUAACAGCGGGAGCUCGUUCUGUUCCCCGGUGUUCAGCAGCUCAGCGGUUUAACCCGCUAAAUAGAAUUCGGCAUUACAGUAGAGUCUCACUUAUCCAACAUCAACGGGCCGGCAGAACGUUGGAUAAGUGAAUAUGUUGGACAAUAGGGAGAGAUUAAGAAAAAGCCUAUUAAACAUCAAAAUAGGUUAUGAUUUUACGAAUUAAGCACCAAAACCUCAUGUUAUACAACAAAUUUGACAGAAAAAGUAGUUCAUUACACAUUAAUGCUAUGUAGUAAUUACUGUAUUUACGAAUGUGGCACCAAAAUAUCACAAUGCAUUGAAAACAUUGACUACAAAAAUGCGUUGGAUAAUCCAGAAUGUUGGAUAAGUGAGACUCUACUGUACUACGUUUUUUGGACUCCAGCUCCCAAAAUCCCUCCACUUGUGGCUAUGAUACUGUUACCAUGCUACUGUCAAAUCUAGCCAAUGAGAAAUGCCAGUUAACAGAAGCAACCUUUUGAACAAAGAUUCUGAAAAACAUUUUUUAACUUUGGAAAAUGUCCUUUGAUUUCACACCAGUUCUCGUGUAUUAUCAAAAGCAAUGCUUGGGGAUUUUAAAAAAGAAUUAUGGGAGAUAUGUUUGUUUAAGUCAAUGUUUGUUAAAAAAUGAAGGCACUGUCUAUGUUGGCUUUUCGGUUCAAAGCAGAACCCCAAAAUGUUGACUACAACUCCCAUGUGUACAAAAAGUACCCAGUUCAGAGAAGAGAAAGUCUAUGAAGUGCAGGAAAUGUAAUUUACAGGAAGAAAUAUAUGUUUUGCUUUGUUUGUCUUUAUGCUUUUAUUUGAAUCUCAUGCUCAGAGCUACUGUUACCGAUCCUCAAUGUAUCAAGCAUAAUGAUACAUCACUAUAUCUUGGUCCUAGGCUUCAGAUCUUGGCUCUGACAUGAAGCUAUGUUGGAAAUAGCAACCUCCCAAGCCACUCACUAUUUGUUUGUUAAUGUGUAUAUUUGGCAACCUGUAUUCUAUAUGUACGUUGAUUUGCCAGUUUAACUCUUUGGUGUUAUAAAUAAGUGAUUAUACUGAGCAUGUGCAGACUCAUGAUUAUACUGAGCAUGUGCAGACUCAAGACUCCAUUUUAUAUUCAGUGUUUGUUUGGACUUCAGUGGUGAAGUAUUUGUUUGAACUUCAAAGGGAGCAGAUGUCUUGCAUCAGAUGAGGUGAAUGCAUACAAGUUGCUUUUCAGACUUUUCAGAGAAUUUCUCCAUACCUCACAACCUCUGAGGAUGCCUGCCAUAGAUGUGGGUGAAACGUCAGGAGAGAAUACUUCUGGAACAUGGCCACACAGCCCGAAAGACAUACAACAACCCUGUGAUCCCGGCCAUGAACGCCUUCGACAACAACCCGGGCUGAGUUUUAAGGCCUCUGUCGCAUAUAUUAUAAACCAAGUUACGCUACCAUCUAAAGUGAAUAAGAAGAAGAAAGAAAGAAAAAGUAAAAGGUCUCCUCUCUGAGUAGUUGCAUCUUUACAAACUGGUGGCAGUCAUUAUUAGCUCCUCACAGAAGGCAAUGUUGGAUCAUAGAAUCAAAGAAUCAUAGAAUCGUAGAGUUGGAAGAGACCUCAUGGCCCAUCCAGUCCAAUCCCAUUUGUGAAGAAACAGGAAAAUUGCAUUCAAAGCACCCCAACAGAUGACCAUCCAGCCUGUUUAAAAGCCUCCAAAGAAGGAGCCUCCACCACAGACCACGGCAGAGAGUUCCACUGCUGAACAGCUCUCACAGUUAGGAAGUUCUUCCUCUUGUUCUGGUGGAAUCUCCUUUCCUGCAGUUUGAAGACAUUGCUCUAGUCUCCAGGGCAGCAGAAAACAAGCUCCCUCCGUCCUCCCUAUGACUUCCCUUCAUAUAGUUAUACAUGGCACUCAUCAUGUCUCCUCUCAGCCUUCUCUUCUGCACGUUGCGUGGAAACGGUAGUCUGAAUCUGCUGGUUUUUUUGUAAAGCUGGCUUACUGGGACUGGGAACAUGCUUUGAACUUUUUCCCAUCUAUAUAUAUAAAUGAGUGAUGGCAUCACGGCGACCAACAAAACAACAAAACUACAGCCCCCCCCAACCUCGAAAUUUGACAACACAACCCAUCAUCCACGCCUCUAAGUUGAUACAACAAAAAGAAAAGAAAAAUAAAGUCCUAAUUAGAGGGAAAGGAAUAAUUGUUUUUAUCCAAUUGCUGCCAGUUAGAGGACUAAUCUCUGCUCACUUGGUCUCCUAGCAACCAACUCAGCCCAGGGGACAGGCAGACUUAGGCCUCAGCCUCUUCCACAGAUUAUCUAAUUUGCACUGGAUUAUAUGGCAGGGUAGACUCGAGGCCCUUCCACACAGCUAUAUAACCCAUUUAUAAUCUUAUAUUAUCUUCUUUGCACUGGAUUAUCUGGACUCUACACUGCCAUAUGAUCCACUUCAGUGUGCAUUUUAUACAGCUGUGAAGAAGCUGAUAAGCAGAUAAUAUAAGAUUAUAAAUAUAAUAUGUAAUAAUUACUGUGAUAUAGAAUCAUAGAAUAGUAGAGUUGGAAGAGACCUCAUGGGCCAUCCAGUCCAACCCCAUUCUGCCAAGAAGCAGGAAACCGCAUUUAAAGCGAUUAAUAAUAAUACAGAACAAUAUAAUCUCUAAAAUCAGGACAGUAAAUAAAGAGCAACACUCUGAAAGCAUAAGCCACAGCAACGCGUGGCCGGGCAAAGCUUGUUCACUAUAAAAGGCCUUGUCACUUGAUUCUAGCAAAUCAACCCUGAAUGUAAAGGGAUUUUUACUCUACUGAGUAAAUCAAUAUUCUGUUGGGAGGGGUGAGCAGGAACAUUGAUCUUCACUGUCACUUCUGUUGCUUUUCUUCCUAAUAAACCAUUCCCUUAACACAGGGGUCCCCAAACUUUUUAAGCAGAGGGCCGGUCCACAAUCCUUCAGACUGUUGAGGGGCUGAAUUAUCAUUUGAAAAAAAAUACAAACAAAUUCCUAUGCAUACUGCACAUGUCUUAUUUGUAGUGCAACAACAACAACAACGAAAGAACAAUACAAUAUUUAAAAAUGAAAACAAUGUUAACCAACAUAAACCUAUUAGGAUUUCAAUGGAAAGUGUGGGCCUGCUUCUGGCCAAUGAGAUAGUCAAGUUAAUUAGGAUUGUUGUUGUUGUGUGCCUUCAAGUCAUGUCAGACUUUGGCCGAGCCUAAGUCUAAAAUUAUUUAUUUAUUUACUGCAUUUAUUUACUACAUUUAUAUCCCACCCUUCUCACCCCGAAGGGGACUCAGAGCAGCUGUAUGUACAUACAAUAUAUUAUAUUAUUAGCAUAACACAAUAUUAGCAUUAUAUAUUACUAUAUUGAACUAUACCACUAUCUAUAUAUAUAAAAGAGUGAUGGCAUCACGGCGAUUCACAAAACAACAAAAGUACAGGCCCCCCAACCUCAAAAUUUGACAACACAACCCAUCAUCCACGCCUCAAGGUUGAUACAACAAAAAGAAAAGAAAAAUAAAGUCCUAAUUAGAGGGAGAGCAAUAAUUUUUUUAUCCAAUUGCUGCCAGUUUAGAGGGCUAAUCUCUGCCCACUUGGUUGCCUAGCAACUGUCCCUUUCAGUUAGGGGACAGGCCGAUUUAGGCCUCACUUAGACUUCUUCCACAGAUUAUCUAAUUUGCACUGGAUUAGAUGGCAGUGUAGACUCAAGGCCCUUCCACACAGCUAUAUAACCCAUUUAUAAUCUUAUAUUAUCUGCUUUGCACUGGAUUAUCUUGACUCCACACUGCCAUAUAAUCCACUUCAGUGUGCAUUUUAUAUAGCUGUGAAGAAGGGGCCUCAUAUAAUCCAGUUCUAAGCAGAUAAUAUAAGAUUAUAAAUAUACAGUAGAGUCUCACUUAUCCAACAUAAACAGGCCGGCAGAACGUUGGAUAAGUGAAUAUGUUGGAUAAUAAGAAGGGAUUCAGAAAAAGCCUAUUAAACAUCAAAUUAGGUAAUGAUUAUACAAAUUAAGCACCAAACAUCAUGUUAUACAACAAAUUGUAUAACCCAAUUCUGCCAUGCAGGACACAAGCCAAGCACUCCCAACAGACGGUCACCCAGCCUCUCAAUACUAAUACAGUAGAGUCUCACUUAUCCAAGCUAAACGGGCCAGCAGAAGCUUGGAUAAGCGAAUAUCUUGGAUAAUAAGGAGGGAUUAAGGAAAAGCCUAUUGAACAUCAAAUUAGGUUAUGAUUUUACAAAUUAAGCACCAAAACAUGUUUGACAGAAAAAGUAGUUCAAUACGCAGUAAUGUUAUGUUGUAAUUACUGUAUUUACGAAUUUAGCACCAAAAUAUCACGAUAUAUUGAAAAUAUUGACUACAAAAAUGGCUUGGAUAAUCCAGAGGCUUGGAUAAGCGAGGCUUGGAUAAGUGAGACUCUACUGUACUAAUAAUAAUAAUAAUAAUAAUAAUAAUAAUAAUAAUA